GAUUAAAGCUCCCUUCGGGGAGUGCAUAAAGUGGCGCACGGGUGAGUAACACGUAAGUAAUCUACCCUCGGGUGGGGAAUAACAUCGGGAAACCGAUGCUAAUACCGCAUAAUGCAGCGGCACCGCAAGGUGACAGUUGUUAAAGAUUUAUUGCCUGGGGAGGAGCUUGCGGCAGAUUAGCUUGUUGGUAAGGUAACGGCUUACCAAGGCUACGAUCUGUAUCCGGUCUAAGAGGACGGUCGGACACACUGACACUGAAUAACGGGUCAGACUCCUACGGGAGGCAGCAGUCGGGAAUUUUGGGCAAUGGGGGAAACCCUGACCCAGCAACGCCGCGUGAAGGAUGAAGUAUUUCGGUAUGUAAACUUCGAAAGAAUAGGAAGAAUUAAUGACGGUACUAUUUAUAAGGUCCGGCUAACUACGUGCCAGCAGCCGCGGUAAUACGUAGGGACCAAGCGUUGUUCGGAUUUACUGGGCGUAAAGGGCGCGUAGGCGGCGCGGUAAGUCACUUGUGAAAUCUCUGAGCUUAACUCAGAACGGCCAAGUGAUACUGCAGUGCUAGAGUGUGGAAGGGGCAAUCGGAAUUCUUGGUGUAGCGGUGAAAUGCGUAGAUAUCAAGAGGAACACCUGAGGUGAAGACGGGUUGCUGGGCCAACACUGACGCUGAGGCGCGAAAGCCAGGGGAGCAAACGGGAUUAGAUACCCCGGUAGUCCUGGCCCUAAACGAUGAAUACUUGGUGUCUGGAGUUUUAAUGCUCCGGGUGCCGUCGCUAACGUUUUUAGUAUUCCGCCUGGGGA
rnacentral:rRNA from 1 species